UUUACUUUGAACAGAUAAGUGUGAAGAACAAUCAGGCAUAUACAUUCUGUUGAAGCUGAUAGUUGUGAUAAUGUCUUCACCUUCAUCAAUUGACAAGGAGUGGGAAGAAUGGAAGACUGAAUUUGAAAGGAACUAUAAAAGCCCUGAAGAAGAAGCAUAUCGACGAGGGAUUUGG